UCUCGGGUCUGAAUGGUGAUUAGCGUAUCGAUUACAUAACCUAUAACGGACGCUGUCCUGUCCGCGGAGAGUAAACAGUAUCCACUGUGUUACGGAUACUUUAAUUGCCAAUCGCAAAGGGGACGUCUGCGCAUGGUUAACGGACGAUUUUCGGCCAGGAAAGCUUGCCCGCCGGCUUACGUAGUUUUUAAAUCGAGUGGCACGUCCGUCAGUGUGGCUAAAAUCGUCGACGAAGUUUGGAAUUCGUGGCAUCGAUUGACCCUGGUGCCUCUUAUGCCUAUGACACGCCCGAGAAAAUAGAAUCACAAUCGUUUGCUAUUUUUCCGGAACGAGCGCGGUUUCCUCGCUGCUUCGAAAUCAUGGAUUUUCUCUUUCCUCCCCGCUGAUACGAAUCGUUAUCAAUUUUUGCGAAAUUCUGUCUUAACGAAGCAGACGCGCAACGAAAGAACGUGACGUUAAGCAUCGCUGAUAACGACUCGUGUGUGUGCGCGCGGCCAGUUAAACCGGAAAUCAGCAUCGACAAGGAAAACAGCUUUGGAAAUACGCAGCGUUAUUACGGAAACUCGCGGAUGCAUUGUUGUUGCAUCUCCAGCGCAUUCCGUCGCUGAUGUAUUUCGGUGUCGCGUGGACCGAAAGUAGCCGAUUAAAAAGUUUCUGGUUGAGUUCCCCUUCGAGUCCCACCAGUCCCUCUCCUGGCUCGAUUUUCGAAUUCAAAUGUCACGAAAAAUAGAACGGCGAAAGAAUUUUUAAAGAUGGAGUCGAGGCACGGUGUAAUUGCAUUGAAUGGGCAAGGACCCGGUUUAAAAUCCGUGCGCUUGUACUCACCGGACGGCAACCAUUGGAAACGUCCAACGUACGGGAAACGGUAACGCACACUUCGAACACUUGACGGAGACACUUUCGAAAUGGCGCAACUUUUUUCCACGUGGCUGGGAUUCGAAUUGCAACUGUCACUGUACGGUGACGCGGGUAACGGCAACUUUUCUGUCGUUUUUCGAGGAUUUCAAGGAACGAACGAGCGGCUACCGUCCGUCGGGGCCACUGAUCAGCUGUGCACUGCGUACUGGGACGACGAAUUUGUUGCGGCACGCACGGCGAAUAUGUACCAGGAAAUCUGCGCUUUCGGUGAUCAAAAUAAAAGAAGCUCCACCCAUCACGUAGUCAAGAUGGCUGCCCGCACGACAAGUGCUUCCCUAUUUAUGAAUGGAAGACGCGUCGUAAUAGUUGCGGUCACAAGGAAGGGGAAACCGCGUGCUAUUUUAAAACCCACACGAAUGGAUAGCGAUGUCGUCGAGAUGGACAUAUUCUUUUUCAUGACCGUCGGAUUCUACUUAUGAUUUUCCCAUCCUCCUUUGUAUCAACUAUUAUUGUAUAAAAGAUGAAAAUAAAAGAGAAAUUUCAAUCCUU